UACGUAGGGUGCAAGCGUUGUCCGGAUUCACUGGGCGUAAAGCGCUCGUAGGCGGUUUGGUAAGUCGGGUGUGAAACCUCCAGGCUCAACCUGGAGCCGCCACUCGAUACUGCCAUGACUAGAGUCCGGUAGGGGACCAUGGAAUUCCUGGUGUAGCGGUGAAAUGCGCAGAUAUCAGGAGGAACACCAGUAGCGAAGGCGGUGGUCUGGGCCGGUACUGACGCUGAUGAGCGAAAGCGUGGGGAGCGAACAGG
rnacentral:rRNA from 1 species